UUUAUAGCUAACAGUGUCUCAGAAACCGCAUUAAAAACCAUCAUGCACGAGGAUAAACUGCUGGCUAUAAGCUUCGUCUUCUUCCUUUACCUCAGAAGAUUCCAUUGAAAUCUGACAGUGUGGAGGUGAAGGACGUGUGUGAUGUCUUAUUCCAGAAGACAACAGGAUGCUGGGUUCAGUUCUGCUGCGGUGUAGGAGGUGCAUUCAGGUGUGUCCCAGACCGAAAUCUAACUUCAUCUGAACUCCUUCUUCGUCGGGAGCAGCAGAGGACGGUGUGUUGGAGAGGCAGGUGCUCGGCACUGAAGACGUCCUCGUCCGUGUUGGAUACGAGUGCACCUGCUCGUAAAAUCCGAGCUGACGUCUGUAAUCUGGCGUGUCACUAAAACCCGCCUGGCAAACAGAUCUGCUGUGAAAGUGUAUCGAUGGGACUUACACUCCAUUUCACUUUCGCAGUGCGUGGAGUUGAAUUUAUUUCUUUAUUUUUUAUUUAUACAUAACAUGUUUGAGUUUUCUACAGUGGUCACUGGCAUUGCUCAGUAUUCGCUCACACAUAUCCGGAUGAUUUUUUUUUCCUGUUCAUUUGGUCAGAUGUUUCACAUCACAUUUUCUAGCCGUGAAAGCAGUUAGUUCAUUUUUAUUAUUAUUUAUUUUUUAUUUUUUUACACCUGUGUUGUGCACCUGUGUAACCCGAGCUAUACGAUCUUAAUACUCAGAAAUAAUACUUUUUUUUUUAAUACUUUUUUUUUACAGCACAUUUUUCCAAAAAUAUUAUCGGUAUAUUGAUGGGUUUAUAUACAUUUUAUGGGUUUUUUUGUGAGAUACUGGAGUUUGGACAUUUUCACUUAGGGGUGUACUCACUUUUGUUGCCAGCGGUUUAGACAUUAAUGUCUGUGUGUUGAGUUAUUUUGAGGGGACGGCAAAUUGACACUGUUACACAAGCUGUACACUCACUACUUUACACUGCAGCACAGUGACAUUUCUUCAGUGUCGUCACAUGAAAAGAUAUCAUCACAUAUUUACACAAAUCUGAGCAAAUUUUUUAAACAUGUUGAUAUUUCUUUGGACUACGUCAUCUUCUCUGUCAAUAAAAAAAAAUGUAUA